UACGUAGGGUGCGAGCGUUAAUCGGAAUUACUGGGCGUAAAGCGUGCGCAGGCGGUUUUGUAAGACUGUCGUGAAGUCCCCGGGCUCAACCUGGGAAUGGCGAUGGUGACUGCAAGGCUAGAGUUUGGCAGAGGGGGGUAGAAUUCCACGUGUAGCAGUGAAAUGCGUAGAUAUGUGGAGGAACACCGAUGGCGAAGGCAGCCCCCUGGGUCAAAACUGACGCUCAUGCACGAAAGCGUGGGGAGCAAACAGG
rnacentral:rRNA from 1 species